AUGAAAAGGAAGCACAAAUAUGAGGGCAGUAGUUACUCAACAUUUCCUUUGACAAUACUGAAGCUUUAUUGGGUAUCCACAAGCUCCUCCUUGGAUCAUCAUUAUUAUAAUACUAAAAGUAAAAUUCUCCCACUGCUGAUUUAUCUGAACUUCAAGGUUUAUUCAGCAGUCAUAUCACACAAGUUGAGGAAUAUAUUUCUCUUCACACUCUUCAUUCUUGAGUGCAGAUCAGAGGACACAGUUGAUCAGCCAGACAAACAUGUGACUGAAGCUGAAGGAAGAUCAGUGACAUUACAGUGUAAAUAUAAAACAGAUUCAACAGGAGAAGAUUUAUUCUGGUACAUCCAGAGAGCAAAUGACUUUCCUAAAUACAUCCUGAGGAGAAGCAAAUAUGGAGGAGAAAAUGGCACUGAGUUCCAGAAGAGAUUUCACUCUGAACUUUCAUCAAAUUCAGUUCCUCUGAAGAUCAAGGAUCUGCGUGUGUCUGACUCUGCUGUGUAUUACUGUGCUCUGAGGCCCACAGUCGCAGGAAACACAUCAGAUCUAUACAAAAACCUGUUACACAGAGACACGGACGAACACAGCUAGAAAGAAAGAGGAACUGACAAUCACAGCAUUAUGUCAGAAAGUAAUAGAAUCAAUGAAUAGGCUAAAUCACAGGUAAUAAAUCAAAAGGUAGAUACAGAUUUCUUUUCUUUUAAUGAUAAGGUGUGAAUUUGUGUGGCAAUGUGAAAGAUUUACAUUAUUCAAUUAGAGUUAUUAAAUCCCUAUAAACUGCCCUUUAAUUCAACAAACAAUAAAACAUCUCAAAUUAUUGUCAUGUGCAAUAUACAGUAGCGGCAAAAAAUGAUAUCUGGAGACUAGGAUUUAAAUAAAUAUUUAAUGAUCCUACAAGUGUCAGGAUUAUGUUUUGUUCGUUGUGUUUUAUGUGAUCUGGGGCCGUAUUCACAAAACAUCUUAAGGCUACAAGUAGCUCCUAACUUGCUGAUUUAGGAGAAACUCUUAAAAAUAAUGGGCGUGUCAGUCCUAAUUUUAGGAGUCCUAAAUUUUUGCUCU